rnacentral:misc_RNA from 1 species
GAUGAAGAACGCAGCGAAAUGAGAUAAGUAAUGUGAAUUGCAGAAUUCAGUGAAUCAUCGAAUCUUUGAACGCACAUUGCGCCCUCUGGUAUUCCGGGGGGCAUGCCUGUUCGAGCGUCAUUAUAACCACUCAAGCUCUCGCUUGGUAUUGGAGUUCGCGAUCUCGCGGCUCCUAAAAUCAGUGGCGGUGCCUGUCGGCUCUACGCGUAGUAAUACUCCUCGCGAUUGAGUCCGGUAGGUUUACUUGCCAGCAACCCCCAAUUUUUACAGGUUGACCUCGGAUCAGGGAGGGAUACCCGCUGAACUUAAGCAUAUCAAUAAGCGGAGGA